AAAGUUCUUUUAUUAAAGAAGAAAAAAUGAUGGAAAAAUCAUUCUGACGGUAUUUAAUGAAUAAGCCCCGGCUAACUAUGUGCCAGCAGCUGCGGUAAUACAUGGGGGGCAAGCGUUAUCCGGAUUUAUUGGGCGUAAAGGGUGUGUAGGCGGUUUAAUAAGUCUAUGGUAUAAGUUCAACGCUUAACGUUGUGAUGCUAUGGAAACUGUUUGACUAGAGUUGGAUAGAGGCAAGUGGAAUUCCAUGUGUAGCGGUAAAAUGCGUAAAUAUAUGGAGGAACACCAGUAGCCGAAGGCGGCUUGCUGGGUCUUAACUGACGCUGAGGCACGAAAGCGUGGGGAGCAAACAGGAUUAGAUACCCUGGUAGUCCACGCCGUAAACGAUGAGUACUAAGUGUUGGGUUAAACCAGUGCUGAAGUUAACACAUUAAGUACUCCGCCUGAGUAGUACGUACGCAAGUAUGAAACUUAAAGGAAUUGACGGGACUCCGCACAAGCGGUGGAUCAUGUUGUUUAAUUCGAAGAUACACGAAAAACCUUACCAGGUCUUGACAUACUCUGCAAAGCUAUAGAAAUAUAGUGGAGGUUAUCAGGGAUACAGGUGGUGCAUGGUUGUCGUCAGCUCGUGUCGUGAGAUGUUGGGUUAAGUCCCGCAACGAGCGCAACCCUUAUCGCUAGUUACCAUCAUUUAGUUGGGCACUUUAGUGAGACUGCCAAUGAUAAAUUGGAGGAAGGUGGGGAUUACGUCAAAUCAUCAUGCCCCUUAUGACCUGGGCUACAAACGGAACA
rnacentral:rRNA from 1 species